UUCUUCUUCUUCCUCUCUUCCUUCCGCUUGGUCGCGCACCCGCCGACGCCUAACCCGAGAAACAACCCCGUGUUGCAUGCUUCUUCAACAUCUCCCAUGGCCGAAACCACAGAGAGAGAGAGAGAGAGAGAGAGAGAGAGAGAGAGAGAGA